CGGGCUGUGGCCUAGUCAGGUAAGGCGCUUGUCUGGGGGACAAGAGAUCCCGAGUUCAAAUCUCGGCAGCCCGACCC
rnacentral:tRNA from 1 species